UGAAAGACAAGAACUGAACUUCAAAAUGAGCUUGGUCAUUUUGACAAACGUUAGGAAUAUCUUAGGGAGUAUAGCACGUCAGCCUUGUCAGACAUUACACCGUACCUGUCAGCGUUUUGACUGAUGUACAAGCACUACCUGCUCAUGUUUGCCCUUCCUUUCAGUUGAGUGCACACAGUGUGGCAUGUCUUCAGUCUCAAUUUAUCCAGAUGAACUUGUUCCAUUUUGAAGAGUCCUAUGCCGUAAAUUGUUUUUAUUUAACGAAUUGUCCAGCAAGGAAAGCAUGACCAUCACCUAGAUCCAACUCUUAAUUCUAAUCUCUGCUCCACAAGAUCUCAAGUCAAUUAUCUGUGAUUCAUUUUGUGCUAAGUAGAUGAUGAAAAUCUUUGAACUUGGCUCUUGUUCUCCAAAACAGAAGCGAUUAUAGUUUGCAUGGAUGAUGGUAAU